rnacentral:rRNA from 1 species
UGGGGAAUCUUGCACAAUGGGGGCAACCCUGAUGCAGCGACGCCGCGUGGGCGAUGAAGCCCUUCGGGGCGUAAAGCUCUUUCGACCGGAACGAUAAUGACGGUACCGGGAGAAGAAGCUGCGGCUAACUACGUGCCAGCAGCCGCGGUAAUACGUAGGCAGCAAGCGUUGUUCGGAGUUACUGGGCGUAAAGAGUGCGUAGGCGGUUUUCUAAGUUCGGUGUGAAAUCUCCCGGCUUAACUGGGAGGGUGCGCCGAAGAAUGGGAAGCUGGAGUGUGGGAAAGGCAGGCGGAAUUCCUGGUGUAGCGGUGAAAUGCGUAGAUAUCAGGAGGAACACCGGCGGUGUAGACGGCUUGCUAGACCAUAACUGACGCUGAGGCACGAAAGCGUGGGUAGCAAACA